UGUUAUUAUAGUACCAGAAAUCUCUUACUUCUUGUCUAGAUGUGUGUAUUGCUAUCAGAUCAAUCCAUGAAAGAUUAAUAUAUGAGAGAAGCUAAUAUUAGUUGCCAUUAGCGACCUGUUUAUGAUUAGGUCUAGUGUGAUCAAAAUAUUUAAUAUUGACUUCUGUAUUUAGUUGUUGGUGCAUACAUUAUUUUAAAGAUCUUUUCAGCUUUGAGUUGGCAGUUGAGAUGUUAGAGUACAUGGAAUGCAUUUUAAAUCUCUAUGAAGCAGUAUUCAGUUCCAUGGACCCAUCAAGGGCAAACUCCAUGACACGUUCUGGACAGUGCCGCUUGGCACCUCUGAUUCCAAGCAUUCAGGAUUCCUCGUGCCUGUAUGACUGCAUUGUUCGCAUCCUUUUCCAGCUGCAUAAAGUUCCCAGCAAAUAUAAGCCCACUCUUCAAU
rnacentral:lncRNA from 1 species